AUGCAACGUGGUCUGGCUUCAGGUGACCCUCGGGCGGCAGACCACGCCCACGCCAGGAAGGGCAUGGGGGGGCCUCCACGCCUGCCUCAUCACGGCGGCGUUGCAAGACAAUCCAGCUGGGGGCGCGACCCUGGCGCCCGUUCUGGGAGCACAGAUCAUGAGCUCUGGAAGCAGGCCCGUGUGAAGCACUGGCAGGUUUUGUGCUGCUGCAAUGUCACAUGCUGAUGCUUGAUGUUGACGCGAAGCGCCUAACACAGCCGGGCUUGGCAGCCCAUCAGGAAAAAACGGGCCGCCCGUGGAGGAGGGGCCGUUCCCAGACUCCGGAAGGAUGACUUCGGAGCAGGCCCUGAAGUCUGUGCCGGGGGUCCAGAUUUGUUCUUGCCUUUUCUUCACACCGAGUUCUCUGUAUUUAUCGAACAUCUUGUCCUUUUAAACCAGUGUAGUGUGAACUGUGUCUCCGAUGUUUGUCUUUUUGUCUCGAAGCCAUGGUGGAUCGCAUGAGGGCUCUGGUGACCAGAGGACUCUUCCCUGAAGGCAUUCCUGCCCCGAUCCCCAGGGCACCCCUCAACUGUGUACUACGUCCUUGUUUAGUGUGUAUCCACGCCUACGUAGAUGAUAAGAUGUGUGUAACUGAGUUUUGUUUGAAAUAGACUACGCGGCUGAAACUCUGGUCUCUAAGGAGGGGGCCGUGGCCGUCUGGAGCACGUGUAGACACCGUUCCUGAUGCUGCCGGGUGAGUUUUGCAGAGACUCCCUUAGUGAUUUCACAUUUUGCAGGCAGCUUCCAUUUUCAGAAUUCCCUGGCAUCGAUUUCUGUUUUGAAGCAUACAGGAAACUUCCCAUUUCCUCGUUCAGCCCCACCCAGGUCAGGCAAAAGGGCAGCUUCAGCGGCAGAUUUUAUGGACCACGUUAUCAGAGAUCAUUGUGCAAGCUGAAUGGUGUAAUAAUGAAUAGUUCAAAGAAAAAUCUGGGUGUAAAGAGUAAAUAGGCCCUGGCUCUUUCUACCACUGUUUGCUCCUGGUUGGAAAGAAACCAAAGAUGUAAGACGGGCUGCUCUUCCAGACGGGCUGUGCCUGCCUGUGCCUCGCAGCCUGUGCAGCCCACAGCGUGCCUGCUGUCCAGGAGGCCAUGGCUGCCACGGGCGCUCUGUAAUUAUGUUCCUCACAGAGUUUCCCCAAAAUGUUCUUCUAAGCCUUUAUUGUCCCUGGUAAAGGUUUCUUAGCCGGGUGUGGUGGCUCACGCCUGUAAUCUAGCUACUCGGGAGGUUGAGGCAGGAGAACUGCUGGAACCCAGGAGGUGGAGGUUGCAGUGAGCUAAGAUUGCACCACUGCACUCCAGACUGGGCAAUAGAGCGAGACUGUGUGUCAAAAAAAAAAAAAAAAAAAGUUUCCUUUACACUGGCCUGCCCUAAAAACCACUACCAAUUUUAGCAAAACAGUCCAGGCCAAAGAGGAAAUGUUUUAUGUUGAGUAAGAAACCCAGCCAGUCCACACGGCCAGCUCCUGAGUGGCUUUGGUGAUACGUGCCAGCCACCUGCUGACAUUCAGAAUCUCAGACCUCGGGACUGCUGUUGAGGUAGUGUGUGUCUGACACGUGCCGAGAGCCCCUGGCUGCCUGUGCGCAGGAUGGGGGUGACUGCCCAGCCAUUCCCGCUUGAUAAGCUCUGAUUUCUGGGGAGCCUUUUAGAUGUAGCAGAUAUACAGCACCUAUACUUUUGGUGUUUUAAGGAAAAAAAAAAAUCCGAAGUGCUUGUUAGAUAGUGAAAACUUAGGAUUGCUUAAAAAGGUUAGUUUUAGCUUCCUUUGUGGCUACCUGGUGCAAAACAAUUAGCAGCGAUGCAGUGGACCUGAUUCUAGUUUGUUCUAAUAGAAGUGAAUAGGGCGCUCUUGCCUCUGACGGCAGGGCUUGACUUUGAUCCUGAACACCUUGUGUAACGGGGAAAGACUGCUUGAAAGGAUGGCCUCAUUCUUCUUCUAAUCUUGCUGGUUUCGAGAUUAGAAAACGGCAUUAUUUGAUCUGAUAUGUUUGAGAAGACAAAAAUAAAGUUACCUGGGCAGAUUGGG